UAGGGAAUCUUCCGCAAUGGGCGAAAGCCUGACGGAGCAACGCCGCGUGAGUGAUGAAGGUCUUCGGAUCGUAAAACUCUGUUAUUAGGGAAGAACAAAUGUGUAAGUAACUAUGCACGUCUUGACGGUACCUAAUCAGAAAGCCACGGCUAACUACGUGCCAGCAGCCGCGGUAAUACGUAGGUGGCAAGCGUUAUCCGGAAUUAUUGGGCGUAAGGUGCGCGUAGGCGGUUUUUUAAGUCUGAUGUGAAAGCCCACGGCUCAACCGUGGAGGGUCAUUUGAAACUGGAAAACUUGAGUGCAGAAGAGGAAAGUGGAAUUCCAUGUGUAGCGGUGAAAUGCGCAGAGAUAUGGAGGAACACCAGUGGCGAAGGCGACUUUCUUGUCUGUAACUGACGCUGAUGUGCGAAAGCGUGGGGAUCAAACAGG
rnacentral:rRNA from 1 species